GACCAAAAAAUUAUUCAUAUUUAUUAUUUAAAAAUAAUAAUUUGAGGGAUAUAGUAGUUUUAUAACUUUGCACGAUGAUCUCAGUUACAGUCUUACGGAAUCCCCAUGGGAGUUAAUAGAUAGGUGAAAGAGGAGGGGGUGGAAGUAGGGGUGCUCGCGGUUCGGUUUGGAUCGGUUUUUUGAGGCAAAAAUUCAUCCGAUCCAAAAAUAAAUUCAUUUGCGGUUUGGUUCGGUUUUGGAUGACAAAUAAAAAAAAUCCGAUCCAAUCCGAUCCAAUAUUAUGCAGUUUAAUUUGGAUCGGUUUUUGGAUAUCCAAAUUAUAAAUUGUAAUUUUUUUUAAUAAUAGUUUGACAUUUAUGACAAAAUAAAUAUUAAGUUUGAUGUAAAAUAUAACAUAUAAUAUAUUGAAAAUUAAUAUUUUGGAAUGACAAUUACCAAUUAUAUUCGAAACAUAUAAAAAAUUAAAAAAAAAAUAGAUUAAAUNNNNNNNNNNNUUUGGAUCGGUUUUAAGAAAUCAAUCCGAAAUCCGAUCCGAUCCAGCGGUUUUCACAAAAGAACAUCCAAACACAUCCAAAAAACUUCGAUUUUUUGCGGUUUUCGGUUUUUUUGGAUCGGUUUUCGAUUUUUAUUUGAAUUGGUUUGGAUUUGAGCACCCCUAGGUGGAAGAACUACCAUUAGGUGGUGAAAAUUUACUCCAAUUGAAAUACAUGCUUUUCCAUAGGGAUUACAUGCCCAUUUUGGGGAUUAAUCACUUCACGGAAGAGAAUACGAGGGAUAAGCAGCGAUCAACCAACGUUUUGAGUAGUUAUCAUUGGUUUA
rnacentral:lncRNA from 1 species